GGCACCGCCUCUCCCUCCCGGCUCUGUGACAACGGCGGUGACGUAUGGGAUGUGACGAAAGGGUGGCGGGAGGGGCGGGUGUGGCCCGAAAAGGCCAGGGAGCCAUUAGUAAAUGCGCCACCCGAGACGCCGGACCCGCCCAAGGGCUGACCUCCCGCCCGCUCCUUCCGGUCGCGCUCAGGGGCCAACCCCAGGGCCCAGGCCGCGGCCCCACUGCCUGCGAGCCCGGACAUCUCUCCUCUACCCAAGUUCACUAAGGGAAUGAAGUCUGCUAUUCUUACCACUUGGAAACGGAGGCAGACCUGGGCUUGCUGCAGCACUGACCCAGAUUGCACGGGGCUGUUGUGAGAUGUGCUUUAGCCCUCAGCCGGGGUUCCGCUCAUGAUACAUCACCCCUUCAGCCUCCCCCCACCCAGGGUGUGUAGUGGGAAGCAACGCGAGGGACCCUUAUGGGGUGCUGGAAACGAUCUCCAUCUUGAUCCUGGUGGUAAAAAUUCACGGAGCUGGACCCUUAAGCCCAGCGUGCUUUGCUCCCCUCCAGCCAUCCCCCCGCCCCUGCCGCUGCGCCCCAGGCUUUCUUCUUGUUCUCUCUUUUCCUCCGCUUGCCAGGGACUCCUACUCGGCCCCCCUUUGCUGGUGGAGCAUCUGCCUUCCCCAUCCUGCUUUCUGCUCCUUCCCCUCUGCUUCCUCCUCCUUCUGGGAGUCCUGCAGGACCCUCUGUGGAUGGGAUCAGGGGAGGCAGCUUUGCUUAGGGAGGGAGGUACAGGCCAGAGACCCUGGUUCCCCUCCCCUGGGCAGGCAAACUGCAGACUCGGUUGCGGGGAGGAUAAAGUGUAGCCUGGGCUUGCGGAGGAAGCCUGGAAGGGCCAGACCUGGCACCUACCCUCAGGGAGUCCACAGCUUGGCAGGGUUCAGAAGAUGCCCCCAGCGAGCCAGGGGCGCAGGUGGAAGGGGCACAGGUGCAUAGAGGGUGCUGCGUUCUGAGCGUGGCAGUUGGAGUCCCCUGGGGCGGGGUGGGGGUGGGGGUAGACAUUCCAGAUGGAGUAAAGAGCAUCAGAUGUCGUUGUGGGGAAGUCAGUUCACACCAGGUCCCUCUCUGGGAGAAGCUCACAGGUGUGUUUGGCAGUCUUCCUUGGACAGAGACCAUACCUCCUCAGGUUUAUUUUUAUUUUUAUUUUA